GCUCGGCUAGCUCAGUUGGUUAGAGCGUCGUACUAAUAUUUCCAUUCGGAAAUAUCAAGUCAAUGCGAAGGUCCUCAGUUCAAUCCUGUGGCUGAGCA